rnacentral:tRNA from 1 species
GGACCGUUGGCGCAAUUGGUUGGCGCAGUCGGCUCAUAACCGAUCGGAUCUGAGUUCGAAUCUCAGGCGGUCCA